rnacentral:rRNA from 1 species
UACGGGGGGAGCAAGCGUUGUUCGGAUUUACUGGGCGUAAAGGGCGCGUAGGCGGCCAGCGCAAGUCAGUUGUGAAAUCUCCGGGCUUAACUCGGAAAGGUCAACUGAUACUGCGGGGCUAGAGUGCAGAAGGGGCAACUGGAAUUCUCGGUGUAGCGGUGAAAUGCGUAGAUAUCGAGAGGAACACCUGCGGCGAAGGCGGGUUGCUGGGCUGACACUGACGCUGAACUGCGAAAGCUAGGGGAGCGAACGGG